rnacentral:rRNA from 1 species
CCUACGGGGGGCAGCAGUGGGGAAUAUUGGGCAAUGGGCGCAAGCCUGACCCAGCAACGCCGCGUGAAGGAAGAAGGCUUUCGGGUUGUAAACUUCUUUUGACAGGGAAGAGUAGAAGACGGUACCUGUCGAAUAAGCCACGGCUAACUACGUGCCAGCAGCCGCGGCAAUACGUAGGUGGCAAGCGUUGUCCGGAUUUACUGGGCGUAAAGGGCGUGUAGCUGGGUUGACAAGUCAGAUGUGAAAUCCUGCGGCUUAACCGCAGAACUGCUUUUGAAACUGUUGAUCUUGAGUACUGGAGAGGCAGACGGAAUUCCUAGUGUAGCGGUGAAAGGCGUAGAUAUUAGGGGGAACAC